GACGAACGCUGGCGGCGUGCUUAACACAUGCCAGUCGAACGGAAAGGCCCUGCUUUUGUGGGGUGCUCGAGUGGCGAACGGGUGAGUAACACGUGAGUAACCUGCCCUUGACUUUGGGAUAACUUCAGGAAACUGGGGCUAAUACCGGAUAGGAGCUCCUGCUGCAUGGUGGGGGUUGGAAAGUUUCGGCGGUUGGGGAUGGACUCGCGGCUUAUCAGCUUGUUGGUGGGGUAGUGGUUUACCAAGGCUUUGACGGGUAGCCGGCCUGAGAGGGUGACCGGCCACAUUGGGACUGAGAUACGGCCCAGACUCCUACGGGAGGCAGCAGUGGGGAAUAUUGCACAAUGGGCGGAAGCCUGAUGCAGCAACGCCGCGUGCGGGAUGACGGCCUUCGGGUUGUAAACCGCUUUCGCCUGUGACGAAGCGUGAGUGACGGUAAUGGGUAAAGAAGCACCGGCUAACUACGUG
rnacentral:rRNA from 1 species